AACGCGAAAAACCUUACCUGGGUUUGACAUGUCGGUGGUAGGAAACCGAAAGGGGCCCGACCCCGCAAGGGGAGCCGACACAGGUGCUGCAUGGCUGUCGUCAGCUCGUGUCGUGAGAUGUUGGGUUAAGUCCCGCAACGAGCGCAACCCUCGCCCCUAGUUGCCAACGGGUCAGGCCGGGAACUCUAGGGGGACUGCCCCGGUUAACGGGGAGGAAGGUGGGGAUGACGUGUCCUUGAUAGG
rnacentral:misc_RNA from 1 species